AUUGAACGCUAGCGGGAUGCUUUACACAUGCAAGUCGAACGAGUGGCGGACGGGUGAGUAAUAUAUCGGAACGUGCCAAGUAGCGGGGAAUAACUACUCGAAAGAGUGGCUAAUACCUCAUACUAGUGGAGCAGCCGAUAUCGGAUUAGCUAGUUGGUGGGGUAAAGCCUCACCAAUGCAACGAUCCGUAGCUGUUUUGAGAGGCAGACCGGCCAAACGUGGACUAGGACACGGCCCAGACUCCUACGGCAGGCAGCAGUGGGGAAUUUUGGCAAAUGGGGGAAAGCCUGAUCCAGCCAUUUCGCUGGUAUGAGAAGGCCUUAGGGUUGUAAAGUACUGUUGGCAUGGAUGCGGUAUCUGCAGAAUAAGCACCGGCUAACUACGUGCCAGCCGCCGCGGUAAUUC
rnacentral:rRNA from 1 species